rnacentral:rRNA from 1 species
UCUUGACAUCCACAGAACUUUCCAGAGAUGGAUUGGUGCCUUCGGGAACUGUGAGACAGGUGCUGCAUGGCUGUCGUCAGCUCGUGUUGUGAAAUGUUGGGUUAAGUCCCGCAACGAGCGCAACCCUUAUCCUUUGUUGCCAGCGGUCCGGCCGGGAACUCAAAGGAGACUGCCAGUGAUAAACUGGAGGAAGGUGGGGAUGACGUCAAGUCAUCAUGGCCCUUACGACCAGGGCUACACACGUGCUACAAUGGCGCAUACAAAGAGAAGCGACCUCGCGAGAGCAAGCGGACCUCAUAAAGUGCGUCGUAGUCCGGAUUGGAGUCUGCAACUCGACUCCAUGAAGUCGGAAUCGCUAGUAAUCGUGGAUCAGAAUGCCACGGUGAAUACGUUCCCGGGCCUUGUACACACCGCCCGUCACACCAUGGGAGUGGGUUGCAAAAGAAGUAGGUAGCUUAACCUUCGGGAGGGCGCUUACCACUUUGUGAUUCAUGACUGGGGUGAAGUCGUAACAAGGUAACCGUAGGGGAACCUGC